CACCGAAAUACUUGAAUACGACAAACUGAUAGGCCGCCAUUUGACGAGCUAAGCCCCUGCACUCAUCUCCACAGCCUCACGGCACUCUGCCAUCUCUCCUCUCUCUCUCUCUCUCUCUCUCGGCAGAGUGGGAAUGAAUCAACUGCCAAACCAAUUCCAAAUUUUCCCUUAAAAACUCAAUGUAGUUUUAAUCUGCCAAAAUUCAUCGUUCCUAAUUUUCUUUUUUUUUUCGCUUCUGCCAUUUUUUUACAGAGCAAUUCGGGAAAGCUUUAAUUGCCUCAAUAAAUCAUUCAAAUCCCCUACAUUGGUCCCUUGACGGUCUCUUAUUUCAAUUAGCCCCCACUAAAUGCCCUUCUUUCUAGUUCAUUGAUUCGAGGAGGCAAAUUGAAGAACAAGUUCAAGGUUUUGCUGAGCCAACCUCCAAUAAGCUCCUUCCCGAUUUGCAUCCAAUGGAGCAGCAUGCUUUUACGCUUGUUCUAAAUUUGAAUGAGACAUUAGUUUACUCUGAUUGGAAGCGUGAAAGAGACUGGUGAAUAGUCAAACGACCUGGAGUUGAUGCAUUCUUGGAGCAGCUUGCUAUAUAUUAUAAAACCGUAUCAAUCCACUGAUUUCAAUUUUAUAUGUCUUGCCUCUUGCAGUACGUUGAUCCUGUGGUUGAAAGGCUUGAUGGCGAGCAAUGUAUACGAUGCAGGCUUAGCAGGAGUGCGACCAAAUAUCAGGAUGGAAAACAUUAUAGGGAUCACUCUGGGCAUGACAGGAAUCCUGGGAAGCUCAUAUAUAUCAGUGGCCAUACUUUGGAGUUAUGUCUUCAGCAGGAAAAUUGUGUCCAGAUUAAGCCAUGGAAGCUUGAGGUGGAUGAUACAACCCUUCUAGAUCUUAUCCCGUUUCUCGAGUGUGAGGAUUUUGCACUUCUCCCAAAACUUGAUCAAAGACAAAUCAAAAUUUACCAUCAGUUCACACAUUUACGACUUGUGUUGCUUUGUGUUAGUUGUUGCCACAAGACCACCACGGGAUAUUGGAUCAGUGUUAGCAUCUUACGAAGGAAAAUACAUUCCUAAGGAGUUCAUCAAAAGUUCCCGGGAUUAUCAGAGGAACAAAAUUAUCUUCCUCCUCAGUUGUUUAAUAAUUUUAGAUGCCCGCGACACUUUCUUUUGAUAUUAAUGGUUGAACACUCACUUUAUACAAGUCAAUAAAUUAUCAUCCUUCUUUUAUUCACUACAAAA